CCCUAGAAAAUAUAUUUUUUUUAUCUACUUAAAAGUUAAAAGUAAAAUAAAGUUUAUUUUCAGUUUAAUAAGAAGUUCUACUGGUUAAAUUAAAAUGUACAACGUAUAUAAUAUACUUUAUAACCAAUUUUUAAUGUUAUUAAUCUACCAUUUGCAUUUUUAAGUGUAAUCUGUGAAAACAAUAAGUAUACAGAUGUAACAUUUUUUAUUACAGAUAUGGAUAUAUGUAACAAUACAAUGAUAUGAGGUUCUUAGAGCUUCUUAUGGGGUUAAGAAAAGAGAAUACACUAAGAAAAAUGGAAAGAAAUUAGAUUUUCUUUUGGGAAGAUGUGAACUUGCCUAGAAUUUCGUAAGGAAACUGUGUGCCAAAAAUGAGUAAGCUGGAGCAACAAGAUUGGAAUCCUGUUGCUUUCGAAUGAGUCCUGCUUGUGAUUCUGCAAGUACCUCUUCAGAAAAUUAUAAUAUUAUUACAUGGACUCGAUGCUGUACUCCUGAAGAGAUGCAGUGGUAACAGAUGUAAACUUGUCUAGAAUUUCGUAAGGAAACCUCUCCGGCUGUAUUCAAGGACAGUGUGUGCCAAAAAUGAGUAAGCUGGAGCAACAAGAUUGGAAUCCUGUUGCUUUCGAAUAAGUCCUGCCUGUGAUUCUGCAAGUACCUCUUCAGAAAAUUAUACUAUUAUUACAUGGACUCCAUGCUGUACCUCCUGAAGAGAUGCAGUGGUAAUAGGUUUCCUAUUGAUGUUUUCACUCUAUUUAUUUUGUAAAAUAUGGAGACAAUAGUAGCAUACAUUUUAAAAAUAUUUCCGGAAAGAUACAAGAGAUAUUCGCAAGUUACUGGAAAUAUGAAUAUCCGGUAUACAUCAGAAAGAAAAUUCUAUUGAAAAAUCAACGGGCAAUCCAAGAAUCCAAGGACUUAUGUUAUUUGUGCUGUAUAUUGUGUCUAACAAUACAUUUAUAAUUAAUUGUGUUAAUAUUGUAGUUAUAAACCAUUCUUUUUCUAAUAAAUCUUAUUAAAGUU